GGACCUGUAACUCAGUGGCCAGAGGACCGCUUUCAGCGGUCGUCGCCAGUUCGAAUCUGGCCAGGUCCA
rnacentral:tRNA from 1 species